GGGUAUAAUGGCAUCUGAAAGGCCAAGAAUGCUGUUGUCAAAGCUGAAACUGAAACAGAUCUUCUUUAAAGGGUCUCCUUUUCUCAGUUCUAGUCACCAGCUAAUGCAGAUGGAAAGGGAAAUACAGGGCCACAGAAGGAGAUUGAAAAGCACCGGCCUAAGCAACUUUGGAAAAUGGACACACCCAUAUUCACACCACCACAACCGAAGAAUAGAAUGUUCCUAUCACCCGGAAAAGUUCCUUCAUUCUCUUUUGCAGCCAAUCACCCUCAUUCAACCCCUGGCUCCCAGCAACCACUGAUCUAAUUUGAGUCACCAUAGAUUAUUUUGCUUAUUUUGGAAUUUCAUCUCAGGGAACCAUACUGUAUGCAUUCUUUCAUGUCUGGCUUCUUUUGAUUAGCUUAGUUUGUUUUUUUGUUUGUUUGUUUAGACUCAUCCAAGAGUAGUGGCUAAUCUUAUAUUUUAUUUUUAUCACUGAGUAAUAUCUCCUUAUAUGAAUAUAUUAAUAAGUCAACAUUUAAUAAUGCAUUCACUUUUUG
rnacentral:lncRNA from 1 species